GCUGUACCACAUGGCAAUGGGGUCUUAGUUCCAGAACCAAGGAUUGGACCUGUGCCCCCUGCAGUGGAAGCACAGGUUCUUAAACGCUGAACCACUGGGAAAUUCCCAGACGUUUGUUUUUCAAAGGCCUACCAGGAGGAAGCAUGAACGUAGUUUCUCCCUACUACAAAUUAUGCAGCCGAGUUCCCCACGUUUGGGGAAAUGGCAGGGGUCAGCACACCUGGAGUGCAAUGGAUGAGCCUUGCCCUGGGAAAACCACCUUUGUGAUCAUGGUAUCUCCCCUGCUGGGUGGAUUCUUUACCGGUUGAGUCACCAGGGAAACCCAAGAAUACUGAAGUGGAUUCUUUACCAGCUGAGCUACCAGAGAAGCCCAACUAUGGUAAUAGUCUAUUGUAUAUUUGAAGUUUGUUAAGAGAAUAAAUCUUAAAAGUUUUCACAAGGAAAAAAAUGUUGUAUUAAUAUAUGGUGAUGGAUGUCAACUAGACCUACUGUCCAGGGGUGGUCACUUUGCAAUAUACAGAAAUAUCUGAUCACUGUGUUGUAUACCAGCCACUAAUAUAAUGUUAUAUGCCAAUUCUAUCUAAAAAGUCAACAGAAUAAAAAGAAGAUACAUGUAUAACUGAAUCAUUUUGCUGUAUACCUGAAACUAACACAAAAUUGUCAAUCAACUAUGGUCCAACAUAAAAUGAAAAAUUUAAAAAGUCAACAGAAUAUUUUCUGCUACUACUGUGAAAGUAAUGUGCCCUUUUUUAUUCAUCUUAAGAUUUUUUUCCUUGUCUUUGAUGUUUAACAGUUUGAUAUGCUGUGCCUAUGUAUAUUUUUGUUUCUAUUCAUUCUGCUUGGGAUUCAUAGAAUGUCAAGUCUACAGCUUUUUCUGUCUUGUCAGCUUUGGAAUUUUUUAAAAGUUAUCUCUUAAAGAAAAUAUUGCUCUUAUACUUUCUCACAUCUCUCCAUAUUGUGUAAACAUUUUACGUUUUUGUUGUGUACCAUAUGACUAUUUUUUAAUCUGAAUUUUCACUCUUUUUCUCUGCUGCUGCUGCUGCUAAGUAGCUUCAGUCGUGUCCGACUCUGUGCAACCCCAGAGACAGCAGCCCACCAGGCUCCCUCGUCCCUAGGAUUCUCCAGGCAAGAACACUGGAGUGGGUUGCAAUUUCCUUCUCCAGAAAAAUUUUAUAAACAACUUUUUCUCUAUGUAUGCUUAAAUCUAAAUAUUGAUUUUUAUCAGCCUUUUUUUAUUACACUUAUUUUUAAUUGCGAUGUCUUAUUUUCAUUACAUUUAUUUUAUCUACUUAUGUAAAAUGACUUUCCAUUUAUAGUAGCGGUAUAUAAAAAGUUUUAUAUAAACAAGAUGAUUUAAAAAUAUCAAGUUAUUACAGUAAGUACAAAAAAAUCUUGAAUAAUUAACCUUUGAAAAUCACUGCAGUAAAGCCAAAGCAACAGUAAAUGGUUAUAAUUAAGAGACUUGGCUCUUAAAAAGAAAAGCCUCACCAAUAUCUAUUCUUUUAAUUUUUGUUUUCUUUCUUCUGAUUUUAUAGCUAACCCACAAUGUGACACGUAUGUAUAUACCAAGUGACAUGUAUGUAUAUAAACCUUAAAUUGUUUAAGAUCUAUGUGGGCUGUGUUACUGCAUUAUGGGGAACAACAUUAACGAGUAUAUUUCAUGUCUGUUUCACAGCUAACUACUCUACUGUAUUUCCAGAUGGGCCGAUAUUUCCACAUGACAGAUACACAUCUCUUUUUCUCUUAAUUACUCCACCAAUCCUGAGUGUUAUAACUAUCAUUCAGGCCAACAGCAAAUACCCUCAUUUAUUUACUUUGAAAUAAUACAAUCCAGGGAAGAAAAAAAUCCUCAUUCGAACAUGGUAUUUUUUUGUUUUAGUAACAACUGGGUAUAUUUCUGAUUUGCAGCAAACCCUUACUCAAAAGAAGAAAUGAUUCAUCUUUACAUUCCACUUUUUAAGCAGCAGCACUGUUUCCAAGCUGCCACAGCUGUGACUUGCAAUGAGUAAGCUCUAUCCCCCGUACGGCUCAGCUUCUAAAUAUGUAAAGUGACAAAGCUAGAUCUAGGUUUAAGGAGACCAAAGAGAUGUAAACAUUAAUUUCAGGGCAGAAGACCUGAAUAUACAUUUUUCCAAAGAAGACAUAGAAAUGGCUAUUUGGCAUGUGAAAAGAUACUCAGCAUCACUAAUCACUGCAUGUGUGCUCAGCCACUUCAGUCGUUUCUGAGUCUU